UACAGAGGGUGCGAGCGUUAAUCGGAAUUACUGGGCGUAAAGCGCGCGUAGGCGGCUUUGCAAGUCGGGUGUGAAAUCCCCAGGCUUAACCUGGGAACUGCAUUCGAGACUGCAUUGCUAGAGUAUGGGAGAGGGAAGUGGAAUUUCCGGUGUAGCGGUGAAAUGCGUAGAUAUCGGAAGGAACACCGGUGGCGAAGGCGGGUCUCUGGGCCGAUACUGACGCUGAGGAGCGGAAGCGUGGGGAGCGAACAGG
rnacentral:rRNA from 1 species